UACAGAGGUCUCAAGCGUUGUUCGGAUUUAUUGGGCGUAAAGAGCUCGUAGGCGGCUUGUCGCGUCGAAUGUGAAAACUCGGGGCUCAACUCCGAGCUUGCAUUCGAUACGGGCAGGCUAGAGUUCGGUAGGGGAGACUGGAAUUCCUGGUGUAGCGGUGAAAUGCGCAGAUAUCAGGAGGAACACCGAUGGCGAAGGCAGGUCUCUGGGCCGAUACUGACGCUGAGGAGCGAAAGCGUGGGGAGCGAACAGG
rnacentral:rRNA from 1 species